GAUGAACGCUGGCGGCGUGCCUAAUACAUGCAAGUCGAGCGAACGGACGAGAAGCUUGCUUCUCUGAUGUUAGCGGCGGACGGGUGAGUAACACGUGGAUAACCUACCUAUAAGACUGGGAUAACUUCGGGAAACCGGAGCUAAUACCGGAUAAUAUUUUGAACCGCAUGGUUCAAAAGUGAAAGACGGUCUUGCUGUCACUUAUAGAUGGAUCCGCGCUGCAUUAGCUAGUUGGUAAGGUAGCGGCUUACCAAGGCAACGAUGCAUAGCCGACCUGAGAGGGUGAUCGGCCACACUGGAACUGAGACACGGUCCAGACUCCUACGGGAGGCAGCAGUAGGGAAUCUUCCGCAAUGGGCGAAAGCCUGACGGAGCAACGCCGCGUGAGUGAUGAAGGUCUUCGGAUCGUAAAACUCUGUUAUUAGGGAAGAACAUAUGUGUAAGUAACUGUGCGCAUCUUGACGGUACCUAAUCAGAAAGCCACGGCUAACUACGUGCCAGCAGCCGCGGUAAUACGUAGGUGGCAAGCGUUAUCCGGAAUUAUUGGGCGUAAAGCGCGCGUAGGCGGUUUUUUAGUCUGAUGUGAAAGCCCACGGCUCAACCGUGGAGGGUCAUUGGAAACUGGAAAACUUGAGUGCAGAAGAGGAAAGUGGAAUUCCAUGUGUAGCGGUGAAAUGCGCAGAGAUAUGGAGGAACACCAGUGGCGAAGGCGACUUUCUGGUCUGUAACUGACGCUGAUGUGCGAAAGCGUGGGGAUCAAACAGGAUUAGAUACCCUGGUAGUCCACGCCGUAAACGAUGAGUGCUAAGUGUUAGGGGGUUUCCGCCCCUUAGUGCUGCAGCUAACGCAUUAAGCACUCCGCCUGGGGAGUACGACCGCAAGGUUGAAACUCAAAGGAAUUGACGGGGACCCGCACAAGCGGUGGAGCAUGUGGUUUAAUUCGAAGCAACGCGAAGAACCUUACCAAAUCUUGACAUCCUUUGACAACUCUAGAGAUAGAGCCUUCCCCUUCGGGGGACAAAGUGACAGGUGGUGCAUGGUUGUCGUCCGCUCGUGUCGUGAGAUGUUGGGUUAAGUCCCGCAACGAGCGCAACCCUUAAGCUUAGUUGCCAUCAUUAAGUUGGGCACUCUAAGUUGACUGCCGGUGACAAACCGGAGGAAGGUGGGGAUGACGUCAAAUCAUCAUGCCCCUUAUGAUUUGGGCUACACACGUGCUACAAUGGACAAUACAAAGGGCAGCGAAACCGCGAGGUCAAGCAAAUCCCAUAAAGUUGUUCUCAGUUCGGAUUGUAGUCUGCAACUCGACUACAUGAAGCUGGAAUCGCUAGUAAUCGUAGAUCAGCAUGCUACGGUGAAUACGUUCCCGGGUCU
rnacentral:rRNA from 1 species